rnacentral:rRNA from 1 species
UCAGGAUGAACGCUGGCGGCGUGCUUAACACAUGCAAGUCGAACGGUGAAACGGAGCUUGCUCUGUGGGAUCAGUGGCGAACGGGUGAGUAACACGUGAGCAACCUGCCCCUGACUCUGGGAUAAGCGCUGGAAACGGCGUCUAAUACUGGAUAUGUGACGUGCACCGCAUGGUCUGCGUCUGGAAAGAAUUAUCGGUUGGGGAUGGGCUCGCGGCCUAUCAGCUUGUUGGUGAGGUAAUGGCUCACCAAGGCGUCGACGGGUAGCCGGCCUGAGAGGGUGACCGGCCACACUGGGACUGAGACACGGCCCAGACUCCUACGGGAGGCAGCAGUGGGGAAUAUUGCACAAUGGGCGCAAGCCUGAUGCAGCAACGCCGCGUGAGGGACGACGGCCUUCGGGUUGUAAACCUCUUUUAGCAGGGAAGGAAGCGAAAGUGACGGUACCUGCAGAAAAAGCGCCGGCUAACUACGUGCCAGCAGCCGCGGUAAUACGUAGGGCGCAAGCGUUAUCCGGAAUUAUUGGGCGUAAAGAGCUCGUAGGCGGUUUGU